AACGAACGCUGGCGGCAGGCUUAACACAUGCAAGCCGAACGGGUGUAGCAAUACAUCAGUGGCAGACGGGUGAGUAACACGUGGGAACCUUCCUAGGGGUACGGAACAACUCAGGGAAACUUGAGCUAAUACCGUAUACGUCCGUGAGGAGAAAGAUUUAUCGCCCUUAGACGGGCCCGCGUCGGAUUAGGUAGUGGGUGGGGUAACGGCCCACCAAGCCUACGAUCCGUAGCUGAUCUUAGAGGAUGAUCAGCCACACUGGGACUGAGACACGGCCCAGACUCCUACGGGAGGCAGCAGUGGGGAAUCUUGGACAAUGGGCGCAAGCCUGAUCCAGCCAUGCCGCGUGAGUGAAGAAGGCCUUAGGGUUGUAAAGCUCUUUUACCAGGGACGAUAAUGACGGUACCUGGAGAAUAAGCCCCGGCAAACUUCGUGCCAGCCGCCGCGGUAAUAC
rnacentral:rRNA from 1 species